rnacentral:lncRNA from 1 species
ACUUUCACCCUAUUUGAUAUUACUAUUGUCACUCUUGCUUGCCUUUUGUGAUUUUAGUAUCUUUCUUAUCCUUUUGCUUAUCCUUUAAAAGUAGUUUUUAAGUGUGCAUCUUAUGAUAACACAUCUGAUUUUAAAAAUCUAAUCUGACAGUCUCUGUCUUUUAAUAGGACAGCUCAGUCUCUUCACAUUUGGCAUCAUGCUUUUUCAGAAUGGGACUUCUUCCAGGGAGCUACCACAAGGACCUGCUGCCACCAGUCGUCACUCUCUGAAUAACAGACACAUGCAUGUGAGCCUAGAGAAGAACCUUCCCAGAGGAUGCACAGCCCAGGCGUCAGUGACGCAAGACUACAAAUGCAGAGUGUGCUGCUCUCUCGCUUUCCUUCUAUAUAUUGAGGAAAGUCUCCAGGACCUCACUCGGAUGGUGGAACACCUUGGCUUGGUCGGACUGUGAACACUGUGCUCACCAGCCCCAGGGCUGUCAGAGAACAGCUGUUCCAGGUCCGUUUAGCUGUAUGUAGCAGAGAAGAGCAGAGAGAGACGAGGCGACACUAUCUCACCCCCUGGACUGCUGUCUGGACUCCUGAAGUUGGUCUCUGUUGGGGUGGACCAGCAAUCUGUAGAUGUUAAAGGUCCCAGGGAUGCUGUGCACAACCAGCGCUGAGAAUCACUGGUUUAUUUAUUUUAUUUUUUGAGACGGAGUUUUGUUCUUGUUCCCCGGGCUGGAGUACAAUGGCGUGAU